rnacentral:lncRNA from 1 species
UUUUGGGGUCCCCUGCUGCCUACCAUGCAGAUGCCCACCAGGAAGAGUGAUGGAUGACAGAAUGACACUCAGGGACCACGGGAUGUGAGCUAAUGCUUUUCUUUCAUCCAGGAAACAGCAACAGGACUGUCCCAGGGAGAAGGGCUCAGGCUCAGUGCCGUGUGGAGCAGGUAUGAAAUGGGAAUGUUGACUUUGGCUCUUUUUUCUUCUCUGUCUAGGACCUGGGACCAGGGCGAGGGUUCUGCAUGUGGGCUGAGGUGGAGGAUCUGAACUUCCUUCUGCUGCCAAAGCAGCAAGCACGUGACCUGCCCAGAGGUGCAGUGGAAGUGAGUGAGGGGGGCUCAAAAGCUGUCAGAGUCAAACACGAAAAAUGGAAUCUUCCUCUGAGACAGGAAGGUGAAUGGUCUCACCUGUAAAUGGCCCAUCUGGCUUUUGAGGAAGGAUAAAGAUUCGAACCCAGGGCUGUCUGACCCCAAACCGUCACCACUGUUGAGUCCGGGGCUCUCGGUGCUCACAGAGCCCUGGGCUGGUCCUCCGUGCCCUCCCACCAGCACAGCCUCCGAGACCCCCGGCCCUGCCCUGAUCUCCCUCCACUUUUCCACCCUCGUCCUGACUCAGCCCCUGGAGAGAACAGACCCCAGGCCCAGGAUGGGGGGCCGGGCCCCUCCCUCCUCAGAGACACCGGCCCCAACCCUGCUCCCAGGGGAACGUGCUUUUCUCUGGAACUGGCUGGUGUGCAGGCAACUUCAUCCUCCUUCUGGCAGAGAUUCUGGCCUGGGUCCUGAGCCUCUUCUUGGCGUCCCCAGGGCGCACCUGCGGCAGAGGACAUGGGAGCUCAACCCACGUUUUGGAGGACGUGACAGGACAGCUGAGUCAGUGGCUCUCAGGAGGGGAAGGGACCAAAGGAAAACUGUGGCUUUGGCAGGGCGGCCUCAGCAGUGACUCUCAGAGGCUGCAACAGCGCCUGGGACAUGCCAGGUAUGUGUCCUUGAAAGAGUGACGAGUAUAAAGAAGAAACAGAAGGAGACACGUGUCCUUGUGGCAUUGGACUUCCUGUCUUGGCUUCAUGAGUGACCCCAGAGACCUGGAAAAUAUCCCAUUUUGCCAGCUUGUUCAAAUUAUUGUUUCCAAAUCUGUAAAUAAAAGGCCACUGCCCAUCA